rnacentral:lncRNA from 1 species
CAACACGAAGCCCGGGCGUCUAGAGACGAAGCUUGAGCGUGCAGAAUCGACGUCCACCGCUCGGGCGGUGAACCUGACUGCUUGGGUGACGGGGCCUCGAAGCUUGGGCGGCCAAAUUGAAGGCAUGGCCCUUACAUGAGGUAUUCUGAUUGUCAGGGCAUCCUCCUAGACUGCAUGUUCUGUUCUGUUUCAAUUCUUUUGG